GGGGUAUUAGUCCAAUAAAGACAGCUGAUUUCGACUCAACUAAUUGUGGUUUAAACCCACAAUGCCCCU
rnacentral:tRNA from 2 species